rnacentral:rRNA from 1 species
CCCUUAGAUGUCCUGGGCCGCACGCGCGCUACACUGACAUGUUCAACAAGCCUACUAGUUCGACAGGAUUUGGGAAAUCUUUGAACGCAUGUCGUGAUAGGGAUAGAUCAUUGCAAUUAUUGAUCUUGAACGAGGAAUUCCUAGUAAACGCGAGUCAUCAGCUCGCAUUGAUUACGUCCCUGCCCUUUGUACACACCGCCCGUCGCACCUACCGAUUGAAUGUUUCGGUGAAGAUUCCGGAUAGGACUUUUUUGAUUUAUUUCAAUUCUGUCUUAAAAGCUAUCUAAACCUCAACAUUUAGAGGAAGGUGAAGUCGUAACA